CAGUUUGUUGCAACAAGUUUGAAACAAGCUGUUAUCAACUUGUAACAAGCUUGAUGGCAUUAUCAGCUUUGUUACAAGACUGUGCUAACAAGUUUGUUACAGCCAUGAUAUAACAAGAAUGUUACAAGGUUGUCAACACAAGGUUGUAAUAAUCUUGUCAUAUCAAGCAUGUAACGCACUUGUCAGAACAACCUUGCAACAAGUCUGAUAAUUUCGACAAGGUUGUUACAAGUUGUCGACAAGUUGUUCCAAACCUGUUGACAACUUG